rnacentral:rRNA from 1 species
AGUUUGACCUCGGAUCAGGUAGGGAUACCCGCUGAACUUAAGCAUAUCAAUAAGCGGAGGAAAAGAAACCAACAGGGAUUGCCCUAGUAACGGCGAGUGAAGCGGCAACAGCUCAAAUUUGAAAUCUGGUCUCCUUUGGGGGCCCGAGUUGUAAUUUGCAGAGGGUGCUUUGGUGUCGGCAGCGGUCUAAGUUCCUUGGAACAGGACAUCACAGAGGGUGAGAAUCCCGUACGUGGUCGCUUGCCUUCGCCGUGUAAAGCCCCUUCGACGAGUCGAGUUGUUUGGGAAUGCAGCUCUAAAUGGGAGGUAAAUUUCUUCUAAAGCUAAAUACUGGCCAGAGACCGAUAGCGCACAAGUAGAGUGAUCGAAAGAUGAAAAGCACUUUGGAAAGAGAGUCAAACAGCACGUGAAAUUGUUAAAAGGGAAGCGCUUGCAGCCAGACUUGCUCGUAGUUGCUCAUCUGGGUUCGCCCGGAGCACUCUUCUGCGAGCAGGCCAGCAUCAGUUUGGGCGACCGGAUAAAGGCCUCUGUCAUGUAUCUUCCUUCGGGAUGACCUUAUAGGGGAGGCGUAAUGCGGUCAGCCCGGACUGAGGUCCGCGCAUCUGCUAGGAUGCUGGCGUAAUGGCUGUAAGCGGCCCGUCCUGAAACACGGACCAAGGAGUCUAACAUCUAUGCGAGUGUUUGGGUGUCAAGCCCGGGCGCGUAAUGAAAGUGAACGGAGGUGGGAACCCUCUUCGGGGGGUGCACCAUCGACCGAUCCUGAUGUCUUCGGAUGGAUUUGAGUAAGAGCAUAGCUGUUGGGACCCGAAAGAUGGUGAACUAUGCUUGAAUAGGGUGAAGCCAGAGGAAACUCUGGUGGAGGCUCGCAGCGG